AACGCUAGCUACAGGCUUAACACAUGCAAGUCGAGGGGUAGCAGGGUAGCAAUACCGCUGACGACCGGCGCACGGGUGAGUAACACGUAUCCAACCUUCCCAUAACUCGGGGAUAGCCUUUCGAAAGAAAGAUUAAUACCCGAUAGUACUUAUUAAAGGCAUCUUUGAUAAGUUAAAGAUUUAUUGGUUAUGGAUGGGGAUGCGUUCCAUUAGAUAGUUGGUGAGGUAACGGCUCACCAAGUCUUCGAUGGAUAGGGGUUCUGAGAGGAAGGUCCCCCACAUUGGUACUGAGACACGGACCAAACUCCUACGGGAGGCAGCAGUGAGGAAUAUUGGUCAAUGGGCGAGAGCCUGAACCAGCCAAGUAGCGUGAAGGAUGAAGGUCCUAUGGAUUGUAAACUUCUUUUAUAGUAGAAUAAAGUGAACCACGUGUGGUUUUUUGUAUGUAUACUAUGAAUAAGGAUCGGCUAACUCCGUGCCAGCAGCCGCGGUAAUACGGAGGAUCCGAGCGUUAUCCGGAUUUAUUGGGUUUAAAGGGUGCGUAGGCGGAAUAAUAAGUCAGUUGUGAAAGUUUGCGGCUCAACCGUAAAAUUGCAGUUGAUACUGUUGUUCUUGAGUGUACAUAAGGUAGGCGGAAUUCGUGGUGUAGCGGUGAAAUGCUUAGAUAUCACGAAGAACUCCGAUUG
rnacentral:rRNA from 1 species